ensembl:snoRNA Gm24016 predicted gene, 24016
CGGCCGUGAGGAGACCCCUGCUGUGUUGACGUGCGGUGAUGCUGCUUAUACGCUAUUCUGAGCCGACA